AUACGUCAGUGGCAGACGGGUGAGUAACACGUGGGAACGUACCUUUUGGUUCGGAACAACACAGGGAAACUUGUGCUAAUACCGGAUAAGCCCUUACGGGGAAAGAUUUAUCGCCGAAAGAUCGGCCCGCGUCUGAUUAGCUAGUUGGUAGGGUAACGGCCUACCAAGGCGACGAUCAGUAGCUGGUCUGAGAGGAUGAUCAGCCACAUUGGGACUGAGACACGGCCCAAACUCCUACGGGAGGCAGCAGUGGGGAAUAUUGGACAAUGGGGGCAACCCUGAUCCAGCCAUGCCGCGUGAGUGAUGAAGGCCCUAGGGUUGUAAAGCUCUUUUGUGCGGGAAGAUAAUGACGGUACCGCAAGAAUAAGCCCCG
rnacentral:rRNA from 1 species